rnacentral:rRNA from 1 species
ACGCUCGACACCUACGGGAAGCAGCAGUCGGGAAUAUUGCGCAAUGGAGGAAACUCUGACGCAGUGACGCCGCGUAUAGGAAGAAGGUUUUCGGAUUGUAAACUAUUGUCGUUAGGGAAGAGAAAGGACAGUACCUAAGGAGGAAGCUCCGGCUAACUACGUGCCAACAGCCGCGGUAAUCUGAGCGGGCUGGCAAGGC